CACGGGGAGGUGAGGACAGAGUCAGAGAACCACAACUCAGGAGCUGGCCCCCUCCCUGCAGCAAUUGUGUUGGUCACAGAGGCCUCAGCACUGAGGUCACCAUCCUGGCAAAUAGAGAGAGCCUGGUGAGCAAUUUAACGUCAGUCUCUGAGCUGCAUCUGUGAGGGAAGACCCAACUCAGGAGUCUGGGGAAGUGACCCCAUCAGAAACUGGGAUUCUCCGUUGGGCCUGGUUGAAUGCUAGAGCCACACAGGAAGCAGAGGAGUAGACUCAGGCAUGGAAGAAACUGUGGUCCUGGACCCUGCAGCUGUCCCUGGUGGCUCCUAGUUGAAGGUACAGUGGUCAUCCCCACUUGUGGCUGCUGAACUGGACUCCACCAUUUCCCAAGGUGCAUGAGUGUGUUGACUUAAAAUCAUUGAAGCUGCUUAUUCUCCCUUAUAGGAAUUCUAUGCUAAUUUUUCUGGAUUUUAGAAAUGGACCUACAGCAUCGCCAAGCCUAUUGUACAGAAUGGGUAGAACUUACAGGAAUCCUCCAGCACUGUGUAGUCGGCGAUCUGAAUGGCGAUGUUUGAGCAGAACUUUUUCUGUAACUCUAGGAAUUCCCUCUUAAAGUGAUAAGAAAUUUAUAUAGAAUAUUGAAUAUAAUAAUCAUCGGUUUCUAAAACCACCUAUUAGAUAUAUGUUUUUAAGGUGUUUAAAAAUAUCCUCCUAUCUGUAUCAAGUUCACCACCUGGUUUAGGAAUUUCAUUGUGGAGUAGGGUAUG
rnacentral:lncRNA from 1 species